CCUACGGGAGGCAGCAGUGAGGAAUAUUGGACAAUGGGCGCAAGCCUGAUCCAGCCAUGCCGCGUGCAGGAAGACGGUCCUAUGGAUUGUAAACUGCUUUUAUACAGGAAGAAACACCUCUACGUGUAGAGACUUGACGGUACUGUAUGAAUAAGCAUCGGCUAACUCCGUGCCAGCAGCCGCGGUAAUACGGAGGAUGCAAGCGUUAUCCGGAAUCAUUGGGUUUAAAGGGUCCGUAGGCGGUUUAAUAAGUCAGUGGUGAAAGCCCAUCGCUCAACGAUGGAACGGCCAUUGAUACUGUUAAACUUGAAUUAUUAGGAAGUAACUAGAAUAUGUAGUGUAGCGGUGAAAUGCUUAGAGAUUACAUGGAAUACCAAUUGCGAAGGCAGGUUACUACUAAUAUAUUGACGCUGAUGGACGAAAGCGUGGGGAGCGAACAGGAUUAGAUACCCUGGUAGUCCACGCCGUAAACGAUGGAUACUAGCUGUUCGGAGCAAUCUGAGUGGCUAAGCGAAAGUGAUAAGUAUCCCACCUGGGGAGUACGUUCGCAAGAUGAAACUUAAAUGAAUUGACGG
rnacentral:rRNA from 1 species